AGAGAAAUGAGGAGCCUUUCCCCAUAUGAUCGAAUCUGAUUCCAACUGUGCUAUAAUUUCUUAAAUUAUAUAAGCCAGAUCUCUGAUCUCU
rfam:Vitis vinifera, whole genome shotgun sequence of line PN40024, unoriented chromosome 7, chr7